GAUGAACGCUGGCGGCGUGCCUAAUACAUGCAAGUCGAGCGAACGGACGAGAAGCUUGCUUCUCUGAUGUUAGCGGCGGACGGGUGAGUAACACGUGGAUAACCUACCUAUAAGACUGGGAUAACUUCGGGAAACCGGAGCUAAUACCGGAUAAUAUUUUGAACCGCAUGGUUCAAAAGUGAAAGACGGUCUUGCUGUCACUUAUAGAUGGAUCCGCGCUGCAUUAGCUAGUUGGUAAGGUAACGCCUUACCAAGGCAACGAUGCAUAGCCGACCUGAGAGGGUGAUCGGCCACACUGGAACUGAAACACGGUCCAGACUCCUACGGGAGGCAGCAGUAGGGAAUCUUCCGCAAUGGGCGAAAGCCUGACGGAGCAACGCCGCGGAAGUGAUGAAGGUCUUCGGAUCGUAAAACUCUGUUAUUAGAGAAGAACGUAUGUGUAAGUAACUGAGCACAGCUUGACGGUACCUAAUCAGAAAGCCACGGCUAACUACGUG
rnacentral:rRNA from 1 species